AAACCGAUAGCGAACAAGUACCGUGAGGGAAAGUUGAAAAGUACUCUGAAUAGAGAGUUAAAUAGUACGUGAAACCGCUUAGGGGUUAAGCCCGAUGAACCCGAAUAUCUGAUGUGAGAAAUUCAAUACUGUUCAUUUAAUGGAUUGUAUGCACUUUUCUCAUAGUAAGACAUUGUAAUCCAUUGAUGUUAUAUCUCUUUCAUUUACGGGAGAGAUGAUUUAACAUACGGACAAGAUGUAUAUGAUUAUUCUACCAGUGAUGUGUUUACAUGUCAUAUGAAUAAAAUCGUUUUGUACCUGUUUAAAUAGUCGAUGGAUUUUAACUGAAUCAUGCUUGCAAUUCAUUUUGCGUUUCGUGUUAUCGGCCAUUUUGGUUGGUAAUAGCAGAAAUGGCAUGCAUUCGAUUAACAAUGCGAUAGAUUUGGGAUACUUUCAGGACCCGUCUUGA
rnacentral:rRNA from 1 species